rnacentral:tRNA from 1 species
GCCUGGGUGGCUCAGUCGGUUAAGUGCCUGACUUUGGCUCAGGUCACGAUCUGGCAGUUUGUGAGUUUGAGCCCCGCAUCAGGCU